AACGAACGCUGGCGGCAUGCCUAACACAUGCAAGUCGAACGAGACCUUCGGGUCUAGUGGCGCACGGGUGCGUAACGCGUGGGAACCUGCCCUUAGGUUCGGAAUAACUCCCCGAAAGGGGUGCUAAUACCGGAUAAUGUCUUCGGACCAAAGAUUUAUCGCCUUUGGAUGGGCCCGCGUUGGAUUUGCUAGUUGGUAGGGUAAAAGCCUACCAAGGCGACGAUCCAUAGCUGGUCUGAGAGGAUGAUCAGCCACACUGGGACUGAGACACGGCCCAGACUCCUACGGGAGGCAGCAGUGGGGAAUAUUGGACAAUGGGCGAAAGCCUGAUCCAGCAAUGCCGCGUGAGUGAUGAAGGCCUUAGGGUUGUAAAACUCUUUUACCCGGGAUGAUAAUGACAGUACCGGGAGAAUAAGCUCCGGCUAACUCCGUG
rnacentral:rRNA from 1 species